CCUACGGGAGGCAGCAGUAAGGAAUAUUGGUCAAUGGACGCAAGUCUGAACCAGCCAUGCCGCGUGGAGGAUGAAGGUCCUCUGGAUUGUAAACUUCUUUUAUCUGGGAAGAAACCCACGGUUUCUACUGUGGUUGACGGUACCAGAUGAAUAAGCACCGGCUAACUCCGUGCCAGCAGCCGCGGUAAUACGGAGGGUGCAAGCGUUAUCCGGAUUCACUGGGUUUAAAGGGUGCGUAGGUGGAUUGCCAAGUCCGUGGUGAAAUCUCCGAGCUUAACUCGGAAACUGCCGUGGAUACUGGUAGUCUUGAAUACCGUGGAGGUCAGCGGAAUAUGUCAUGUAGCGGUGAAAUGCUUAGAUAUGACAUAGAACACCAAUUGCGAAGGCAGCUGGCUACACGAAUAUUGACACUGAGGCACGAAAACGUGGGGAUCAAACAGGAUUAGAUACCCUGGUAGUCCACGCCCUAAACGAUGGAUACUCGACAUACGCGAUACACUGUGUGUGUCUGAGCGAAAGCAUUAAGUAUCCCACCUGGGAAGUACGAUCGCAAGAUUGAAACUCAAAGGAAUUGACGG
rnacentral:rRNA from 1 species